UUCGCAAUGCCCGAAAGGGUGACGAAGCGACGCCGCGUGCGGGAAGAAGGCCUUCGGGUUGUAAACCGCUGUCGGGAGUUAGGAAGUGCAAGGAUGUUAAUAGCGCACUUGCUUGACUAAGGCUCCAGAGGAAGCCACGGCUAACUCUGUGCCAGCAGCCGCGGUAAUACAGAGGCGGCAAGCGUUGUUCGGAAUUAUUGGGCGUAAAGAGCACGUAGGCGGCCUUGCAAGUCAGUUGUGAAAGCCUUCCGCUUAACGGAAGAACGGCAUCUGAUACUACAGGGCUUGAGUACGGGAGGGGAGAGUGGAACUUCUGGUGGAGCGGUGAAAUGCGUAGAUAUCAGAAGGAACACCGGCGGCGAAGGCGACUCUCUGGUCCGUAACUGACGCUGAGUGUGCGAAAGCUAGGGGAGCAAACGGGAUUAGAUACCCCGGUAGUCCUAGCCGUAAACGAUGGGCACUAAGUAGAGGGGUUUUA
rnacentral:rRNA from 1 species